rnacentral:rRNA from 1 species
CCUACGGGUGGCAGCAGUGAGGAAUAUUGGUCAAUGGAAGCAAGCCUGAACCAGCCAUGCCGCGUGCGGGAAGACGGCUCUAUGAGUUGUAAACUGCUUUUGUCCGAGGGUAAAUCCCGGUACGUGUAUCGGGCUGAGAGUAUCCGACGAAAAAGGAUCGGCUAACUCCGUGCCAGCAGCCGCGGUAAUACGGAGGAUUCAAGCGUUAUCCGGAUUUAUUGGGUUUAAAGGGUGCGUAGGCGGUUCGAUAAGUUAGGGGUGAAAUCCCGGGGCUCAACUCCGGCAGUGCCUCUGAUACUGGCCGGCUAGAGUUGAGUAGCGGUAGGCGGAAUGUAUGGUGUAGCGGUGAAAUGCAUAGAGAGCAUGCAGAACACCGAUUGCGAAGGCAGCUUACCGAAGUCCGACUGACGUUGAGGCACGAAAGCGUGGGGAUCAAACAGGAUUAGAUACCCGGGUAGUC